rnacentral:tRNA from 1 species
GGAGCGGUGACCGAGUUGGUCGAAGGUGCUUGACUCGAAAUCAAGUGUGUCGAAAGGCACCGGGGGUUCGAAUCCCUCUCGCUCCGCCA